rnacentral:rRNA from 1 species
UACAGAGGUCUCAAGCGUUGUUCGGAAUCACUGGGCGUAAAGGGUGCGUAGGCCGCACGGUAAGUCAGAGGUGAAAUCCCGGAGCUCAAUUUCGGAAUUGCCUUCGAUACUGCCGUGCUUGAGGACUGGAGAGGAGAUUGGAAUUCACAGUGGAGCAGUGAAAUGCGUAGAUAUUGUGAGGAACACUAGUGGCGAAGGCGAAUCUCUGGACAGUUCCUGACGCUGAGGCACGAAGGCCAGGGGAGCAAACGGG